AGAGCGAACGCUGGCGGCAGGCCUAACACAUGCAAGUCGAACGGACUCUUCGGAGUUAGUGGCGGACGGGUGAGUAACACGUGGGAACGUGCCUUUAGGUUCGGAAUAGCUCCUGGAAACGGGUGGUAAUACCGAAUGUGCCCUUCGGGGGAAAGAUUUAUCGCCUUUAGAGCGGCCCGCGUCUGAUUAGCUUGUUGGUGAGGUAAUGGCUCACCAAGGCUACGAUCAGUAGCUGGUCUGAGAGGAUGACCAGCCACAUUGGGACUGAGACACGGCCCAAACUCCUACGGGAGGCAGCAGUGGGGAAUCUUGCGCAAUGGGCGAAAGCCUGACGCAGCCAUGCCGCGUGUAUGAUGAAGGUCUUAGGAUUGUAAAAUACUUUCACCGGUGAAGAAAAUGACUGUAGCCGGAGAAGAAGCCCCGGCUAACUUCGUGCCAGCAGCCGC
rnacentral:rRNA from 1 species